UUAGGUGGUUCACACUUUCUCUCUUGCAGUUGGCAAACUAGUCGGAUGUCUCUGCGCAUGCACAGGAAUCUUAGCCAUUGCACUUCCGGUCCCCGUGAUUGUCUCCAAU